rnacentral:rRNA from 1 species
UACGGGGGGGGUAAGCGUUGUUCGGAAUUACUGGGCGUAAAGGGCUCGUAGGCGGCCAACUAAGUCAGACGUGAAAUCCCUCAGCUUAACUGGGGAACUGCGUCUGGUACUGGAUGGCUUGGAUCCGGGAGAGGGAUGCGGAAUUCCAGGUGUAGCGGUGAAAUGCGUAGAUAUCUGGAGGAACACCGGUGGCGAAGGCGGCAUCCUGGACCGGUAUUGACGCUGAGGAGCGAAAGCCAGGGGAGCAAACGGG